GGUGGCUUAGUGGUAGAGUGCUUGCCUUGCAUGCAGGAAGCCCUGGGUUUGAUUCCUCAGUACCA
rnacentral:tRNA from 1 species